UAAGUGCGGUUUGCUUAAGUACAAAUUAACAUAAUAUUAUUAAUUAUACAACUAUAAUCUCUGUCGUAAUGGAUGUUGAAACCGUAAAAGGUCGACCUCUGUCUCAGGAGCAAUGCACGUUUUAACUUAACCUAAUACAAGAAAGUAAAACAAUUAAUAAGAAAGCCACCAACGCCACUAGCUAUAAAUGA